GACGAACGCUUGCGGCGUGCCUAAGAAAUGCAAGUCGAGCGGGGAUGCUUCGCAUUGAGUUGUCAGUUAUCAGUUGCCGGUAGUAAGUUAUCAGUUGUCAGUUAUCAGUAAAGUCGGGUUUCCCCGGCACUGAUUACUGACAACUGAAUACUGAUUACUAAACACUGAUUACUGACAGCUGAAUGCGGAGCAUUCUAGCGGCGAACGGUCG
rnacentral:rRNA from 1 species